AACAUGAUGCAAGCCCAAAUGUCUCAGAAUCACAAUUUAGCUUUGUAGCCUCUUUUCCAGCCAUAGGCAGCAGUUGGUGUUUAAUCACAGUGUGGAAGAAAUAGGGGCAACACUGGCAAAGCAAGAGCCUCAGCAAUAAGCACCUGCUGCUGGAUAAUGUGAACUAAAUGUGGAUAACCUUCUGUAGCUUCUUUGCACCAGCCCAGUGAUGCAAGGAUGCUUGUAAAACUGAUCUGGUUCCGAAAGGCAGAAGGCUCUGGAGGAGGGGAUAUCUCAGCAAUCCACAUGGAUGAAAACCACUCGGCCAAGGAGCAGCUGGGACACAGCUACAUUAGUUGUAUAGACUAUGAUAAUGAUAUACAAACUCUGUUUUACUUUGCUUUGGCUUAAAUAAAAUAUGAUGCAAACUAAAGAUUUCAUUAAAUUUUAAGAAAAUAUAUGAUCUUCAUGUUAUUUGUUCAUUACUUUUGAGUCAUGGAAGCUUAAAAGAAGAGACUCGUAAAAAAUGUUUGAAGGUGUUAAGGUGGAGACUGAACUAUCAGAGUGGACAGGGCAGAA